UCGAUUUUCCACACGAGCAAUGCCCAAUUGGCUAACCCCGCCUCUAAAGUACAUUUUGACGGAGCUGAAGGUUAUUGCGUCGCAAGUGGGCGUCAAAACGCGACAGGACAUCUCCAAGGAAACCGUUACUUUGCUUGCAGGGAAGAGCUAGCGGAAUACGUAUUUCCCGAAAUUGCCCAAGUCCUCCAUGAACACUUUUCUCCUCGAGGAUUUCGAUUUUCCACACGAGCAAUGCCCAAUUGGCUAAUCCCGCCUCUAAAGUACAUUUUGACGGAGCUGAAGGUUAUUGCGUCGCAAGUGGGCGUCAAAACGCGACAGGACAUCUCCAAGGAAACCGUUACUUUGCUUGCAGGGAAGAGCUAGCGGAAUACGUAUUUCCCGAAAUUGCCCAAGUCCUCCAUGAACACUUUUCUCCUCGAGGAUUUCGAUUUUCCACACGAGCAAUGCCCAAUUGGCUAAUCCCGCCUCUAAAGUACAUUUUGACGGAGCUGAAGAUUAUUGCGUCGCAAGUGGGCGUCAAAACGCGACAGGACAUCUCCAAGGAAACCGUUACUUUGCUUGCAGGGAAGAGCUAGCGGAAUACGUAUUUCCCGAAAUUGCCCAAGUCCUCCAUGAACACUUUUCUCCUCGAGGAUUUCGAUUUUCCACACGAGCAAUGCCCAAUUGGCUAAUCCCGCCUCUAAAGUACAUUUUGACGGAGCUGAAGGUUAUUGCGUCGCAAGUGGGCGUCAAAACGCGACAGGACAUCUCCAAGGAAACCGUUACUUUGCUUGCAGGGAAGAGCUAGCGGAAUACGUAUUUCCCGAAAUUGCCCAAGUCCUCCAUGAACACUUUUCUCCUCGAGGAUUUCGAUUUUCCACACGAGCAAUGCCCAAUUGGCUAAUCCCGCCUCUAAAGUACAUUUUGACGGAGCUGAAGAUUAUUGCGUCGCAAGUGGGCGUCAAAACGCGACAGGACAUCUCCAAGGAAACCGUUACUUUGCUUGCAGGGAAGAGCUAGCGGAAUACGUAUUUCCCGAAAUUGCCCAAGUCCUCCAUGAACACUUUUCUCCUCGAGGAUUUCGAUUUUCCACACGAGCAAUGCCCAAUUGGCUAAUCCCGCCUCUAAAGUACAUUUUGACGGAGCUGAAGGUUAUUGCGUCGCAAGUGGGCGUCAAAACGCGACAGGACAUCUCCAAGGAAACCGUUACUUUGCUUGCAGGGAAGAGCUAGCGGAAUACGUAUUUCCCGAAAUUGCCCAAGUCCUCCAUGAACACUUUUCUCCUCGAGGAUUUCGAUUUUCCACACGAGCAAUGCCCAAUUGGCUAAUCCCGCCUCUAAAGUACAUUUUGACGGAGCUGAAGGUUAUUGCGUCGCAAGUGGGCAUCAAAACGUGACAGGACAUCUCCAAGACCAUCAAGGAAUUUGAUUUCACCUACGUACCGCCGCGCAAGUCCAUUGUGGACGCCGGCGAGUCGGCCAUUGAGUUUGGCGCUGUGCGACUGCCAGCUAACUACCGACCCCCGGCCAAGCCUGCUCAGGACGCCGAGACCGUUGAGACCACUGCUGCAGCAACGAACACAGCAUCAAACGAGGACAGCGAGCGAGUGGCAGUACCCGCAGCAGAAGCAGAGCCGGCACAGGCCACAGCUGAGAUACGAGACGAGGCGCCUUAAUCCACCACUGAGCCAGGAGCCUCUUUUCAGAUCAGCACUGAUUGUGCCAGCAGGACCAGCAGCACCAGGAGGGUCAAAAGCCAGAGCCACUCCAUGAAUGACUGAGCACCCCAACAACAGUACCACACCGAAGCAUGUCGCAGAGCAGUGACAUUGCAGCAUGAUGAUCAGUAGGGGUGAAACGAUUAGUUCGAAUAUUCGAGUAUUCGUUCGAAAAUUUCAAACGAGCGAGUAUUCGAAAUUUUGCACUCGAUCGUUUUUUUUAAAUAUUUUUUUUAGGAUUGGCAUUGUAUUUUUUUAAAACUUUUGUUGUACCGCUGGUCCACUGGUAUGCAUGCGUUAUUCAUGGCUUUGAGUCAGUUUUUUUAAGAUUUGGACGAUGCGUUCACCACAGCAAGUAACGUUCUGAGAUAUGAAAGUACUGAUGAAAAUUGUUACUUUACACUCUGUACAAGACGUUGGCGACUUUUGUUCUAUGUUCACAGAUAAUUUCUUCCGAAUUGGUCGAGAACUUGCAAAUCUAGCGCUUUUGAAUUUUGAUAAAAUACUCGAAAUAAUCGGAUACUCGAUCGAAUAUUAUGAACGAGUGAUCGGUUGGUCAAAAUAGAUACUCGUUUCACCCCUAAUGAUCAGUUUUAUUAUUAUUAUUAUUAUUAUGAAUAUGAUGUGUCACUGAUUCGAUUCCACGUGUUAGUUUCAACAGUUUAGGAUUGAGGUAUGUUGCAGGCAAGUAGUAGGGCAAUACCGAGACAGGCUGUGCUUAG